rnacentral:tRNA from 1 species
GCCGAUGUAGCUCAGUUGGAUAGAGCAGACGGUUUCUAACCGUCAGGCCGGGGGUUCGAAUCCUCCCAUUGGCACCA